UUAUUUAGUGAUAUUACAAAUGUUUGCUAUUAAAAAAUUUUUUGUUCUUUAAAAAUAUAAAUAUAAAAUUAUGUAAUCUUUGUUUCUUCAAGUUGUUA
rnacentral:misc_RNA from 1 species